UACGUAGGGUGCAAGCGUUGUCCGGAAUUAUUGGGCGUAAAGAGCUCGUAGGCGGUUUGUCGCGUCUGCUGUGAAAACUCAGGGCUUAACCCUGAGCCUGCAGUGGGUACGGGCAGACUAGAGUGUGGUAGGGGAGAUCGGAAUUCCUGGUGUAGCGGUGAAAUGCGCAGAUAUCAGGAGGAACACCGGUGGCGAAGGCGGCAUCCUGGACCGACACUGACACUGAGGAGCGAAAGCCAGGGGAGCAAACGGG
rnacentral:rRNA from 1 species